rnacentral:rRNA from 1 species
GAUGAACGCUGGCGGCGUGCCUAACACAUGCAAGUCGGACGGUUUCGUAAGGAACAGUGGCGCACGGGUGUGUAACACGUAGCGAACCUGGCCUGAGGCGCGGGAUAACGGUUCGAAAGGACUGCUAAGACCGCAUAAGCUCACAGGGGGAAGUGCCCGGUGAGAAAAGAGCGAAAGCUGCCACAGGGGGGAGCUGCGGCCCAUCAGGUAGUUGGUGCGGUAGCGGCGCACCAAGCCGACGACGGGUAGGGGGUCUGAGAGGAUGAUCCCCCACACUGGGACUGAGACACGGCCCAGACUCCUACGGGAGGCAGCAGUGAGGGAUAUUGGUCAAUGGGCGAAAGCCUGAACCAGCGACGCCGCGUGGGUGACGAAGGUCUUCGGAUCGUAAAGCCCUUUUCUGGGUGAAGAGACAAGGACGGUAGCCCAGGAAGAAGUCUCGGCUAACUACGUGCCAGCAGCCGCGGUAAAACGUAGGAGACAAGCGUUAUCCGGAGUUACUGGGCGUAAAGGGCGUGCAGGUGGCAUCUUAAGUCUGUUGUGAAAGCGCCUGGCUUAACCGGGCGAGGCCAAUGGAGACUGAGGAGCUAGAGGACGGCGGAGGGGUGUGGAAUUCCGGGUGUAGUGGUGAAAUGCGUAGAGAUCCGGAGGAACACCAGAGGCGAAGGCGGCAUCCUAAGCCGUACCUGACACUGAGACGCGACAGCACGGGGAGCAAACGGGAUUAGAAACCCCGGUAGCCCGUGCCGUAAACGAUGCCAGCUAGACGUUCGGUCUCCGAGAGGGGAUUGGGUGUCGCAGCUAACGCGCUAAGCUGGCCGCCUGGGGAGUACGGUCGCAAGGCUAA